rnacentral:rRNA from 1 species
UACAGAGGUCCCAAGCGUUGUUCGGAUUCACUGGGCGUAAAGGGUGCGUAGGCGGUCGGGUAAGUCUGACGUGAAAUCUCCAAGCUCAACUUGGAAAUGGCGUCGGAUACUAUUCGGCUGGAGGAAUGGAGGGGAGACUGGAAUUCUCGGUGUAGCAGUGAAAUGCGUAGAUAUCAGGAGGAAUACCGAUGGCGAAGGCAGGUCUCUGGGCUGACACUGACGCUCAUGCACGAAAGCGUGGGGAGCAAACAGG